rnacentral:rRNA from 1 species
AAGAGAGUGCAAGAGAACGUGAAAUCGAUUCAAUGGAAACGAAUAAAGUCGGCGUAUCUAGCGUGUAUUCAGGUUUUAUUCGCUAGUUUUUUUCAUUUUGAAACAUUCUGUAAAAGUUGUUUCCUAAUGAAACAAGACUAAUGAAUAAGACUGCAUUUGCGCGCAGAGUGCGAUGAAACAAUCGAACAACGUCGGUGGAAACAAUUGAAGAGAUCAUUUUUUUUUAUUAAAAAAUGAAUACUACAAUUUGUGAAAGCCUGAUUGUUUUUGAUUGUCUAUUUUUAAAAGCAUUGGAUGAAUUUCGGUGAUUUUAAAUAUCAAUUGUUUUUGCUUUUGUUAUGCACAUGUGUAGGAAUAAAAUGCGUAAAAUAAUUGUGUUUAAAAUUGCGGCUUUGCUUUUUUCAUCGUAUAGUCGGUCACUUAUUCGACCCGUCUUGAAACACGGACCAAGGAGUUUAUAGUACACGCAAGUCAUUGAAUCUUUUAAACGAAAUUCAAAGGCGUAAUAAAAGUGAAACAGCGUAAAAACCUGUUUAAACAUGAUUAUUUGAAAAAAAAUUUUUUUUUUCAUUUAAGCAAUGUUGCCUCAUUCCAUGAACUUGUUCAGGUGUGAAGGUUGAGCGUGUGCAAUGAGACCCGAAAGAUGGUGAACUAUGCCUGAACAGGAUGAAGCCAGAGGAAACUCUGGUGGAAGUCCGAAGCGGUUCUGACGUGCAAAUCGAUCGUCUGAUUUUGGUAUAGGG